UAGAUAAUGGUGUACAGGGGGCACGAAGAGUUUUGAUCUCUUAAGUAUGGGUUCAAUUCCUAUUUAUUUAA
rnacentral:tRNA from 1 species